UACGUAGGUGGCAAGCGUUAUCCGGAAUUAUUGGGCGUAAAGAGCGCGCAGGUGGUUGAUUAAGUCUGAUGUGAAAGCCCACGGCUUAACCGUGGAGGGUCAUUGGAAACUGGUCGACUUGAGUGCAGAAGAGGGAAGUGGAAUUCCAUGUGUAGCGGUGAAAUGCGUAGAGAUAUAGAGGAACACCAGUGGCGAAGGCGGCUUCCUGGUCUGUAACUGACACUGAGGCGCGAAAGCGUGGGGAGCAAACAGGAUUAGAUACCCCGUA
rnacentral:rRNA from 1 species